rnacentral:rRNA from 1 species
UGGGGGAUAGCCCGGCGAAAGCCGGAUUAAUACCGCAUACGAUCUGUGGAUGAAAGCGGGGGAUCUUCGGACCUCGCGCUACAGGGGCGGCCGAUGGCAGAUUAGCUAGUUGGUGGGGUAAAGGCCUACCAAGGCGACGAUCUGUAGCUGGUCUGAGAGGACGACCAGCCACACUGGGACUGAGACACGGCCCAGACUCCUACGGGAGGCAGCAGUGGGGAAUUUUGGACAAUGGGCGAAAGCCUGAUCCAGCAAUGCCGCGUGUGUGAAGAAGGCCUUCGGGUUGUAAAGCACUUUUGUCCGGAAAGAAAACCUCCGUGGUUAAUACCCGUGGGGGAUGACGGUACCGGAAGAAUAAGCACCGGCUAACUACGUGCCAGCAGCCGCGGUAAUACGUAGGGUGCAAGCGUUAAUCGGAAUUACUGGGCGUAAAGCGUGCGCAGGCGGUUCGCUAAGACAGAUGUGAAAUCCCCGGGCUUAACCUGGGAACUGCAUUUGUGACUGGCGGGCUAGAGUAUGGCAGAGGGGGGUAGAAUUCCACGUGUAGCAGUGAAAUGCGUA